GUGUCAGCCGCCGCGGUAAUACGGAAGGGGCAAGCGUUGUUCGGAAUCAUUGGGCGUAAAGGGCGCGUAGGUGGUCUUGUAUGUCUACCGUGAAAGCGUACGGCUCAACCGUAUUUAGUCGGUAGAAACUGCAGGACUUGAGGCUGGGAGGGGCUGGUGGAAUUCCCUGUGUAGCGGUGAAAUGCGUAGAGAUGGGGGAGAACACUCGUGGCGAAGGCGGCCAGCUAGACCAGUUCUGACACUGAGGCGCGAUAGCGUGGGGAGCAAACAGGAUUAGAUACCCCGGUAGUCC
rnacentral:rRNA from 1 species